rnacentral:rRNA from 1 species
GACGAACGCUGGCGGCGUGCUUAACACAUGCAAGUCGAACGGAAAGGCCCUGCGUUUGUGGGGUGCUCGAGUGGCGAACGGGUGAGUAACACGUGAGUAACCUGCCCCUGACUUUGGGAUAACUUCAGGAAACUGGGGCGAAUACCGGAUAGGAGCUCCUGCUGCAUGGUGGGGGUUGGAAAGUUUCGGCGGUUGGGGAUGGACUCGCGGCUUAUCAGCUUGUUGGUGGGGUAGUGGCUUACCAAGGCUUUGACGGGUAGCCGGCCUGAGAGGGUGACCGGCCACAUUGGGACUGAGAUACGGCCCAGACUCCUACGGGAGGCAGCAGUGGGGAAUAUUGCACAAUGGGCGGAAGCCUGAUGCAGCAACGCCGCGUGCGGGAUGACGGCCUUCGGGUUGUAAACCGCUUUCGCCUGUGACGAAGCGUGAGUGACGGUAAUGGGUAAAGAAGCACCGGCUAACUACGUG